GAUUAAGCCAUGCAUAUGUAAGUCUAAAUAGUUUUAGUGUGAAACUGCGAAUGGCUCAUUAUAUCAGUUAUAGUUUAUUUGGAAUAGUUUGUAUAUGGAUAACCCUAGUAAUUCUAGGGCUAAUACAUGUGUUUUCUUUGUUGGGUAACCAGUAAAGAAGUACUUAUUAGAGUAAAAACCAUUAAUUAAAAUGGUGAGUAAUAAUAAUUGUUCGACUUUAUCGCAUGCUUGUUAAGUAGCGAUGUUCCUUUCAAGUUUCUGCCCUAUCAGCUUUCGAUGGUAGUGUAUUGGACUACCAUG
rnacentral:rRNA from 1 species